UCCUCCUCACGUUUAGCUUCUGGCCUGUACAAGACAGGAAUAGUACAUGGAGUAGCAGAACCUGAGACCUGCCAAAGAGUACAGUGGGCUGGAGUGGCCUGCAGGGGAAAGUACGUCAGUGCGGUGACGUCACAGGCCAAUGCUCCUAUCAGGAAGAAGAGAGCUUGGGAACUGCACAAUACUUACUACAGAGACACCAGCCCCGAGCUGGGAGAUCCUGCCAUGGGCUUCAGGCUCCUCUGCUGUGUAGCCUUUUGUCUCCUGGGAGCAGGCUCAGUGGAUUCUGGAGUCACACAAACCCCAAAGCACCUGAUCACAGCAAUUGGACAGCAAGUGACGCUGAGAUGCUCCCCUAGGUCUGGAGACCUCUCUGUGUACUGGUACCAACAGAGCCUGGGCCAGGGCCUCCAGUUCCUCGUUCAGUAUUAUAAUGGGGAAGAGAGAGAAAAAGGAAACAUUCUUGAAAGAUUCUCAGCACAACAGUUCCCUGACUUGCACUCUGAACUAAACCUGAGCUCUCUGGAGCUGGGGGACUCGGCAUUGUAUUUCUGUGCCAGCAGCUUAGCACAGCCCUGCGUGAGCAUCAGCCUUCUGUGCAAUAACAUUCCUGCCCCACUCAGGAAGUGACGGUGAGGGGAGGGCUGCCAGCCAGAGGGCCUCAGGCCCUGGAGAGUGGACAGGCCUUUCCCAGGCACUCUCUGGUGCUUCUGUGUGAGAUCUGGUUUAAUGCUCACUGAAACUGU